GCCUCCUCUGCGAGCCCAGCUCUGGGAAACCGCUUCCACGGCGGGCUCUGGCUCUGGGGGCUGGCGCAUCCCAGGGCGAGAUCUCUGGGUGGAUGCAGAGGAAGACGCAGAGGAGACAGGUUGACGCGCACGUGGACGUCCUGGAGACGGUGUGGAAACGCAGAGUCUGUGUCAGAAGGGCUGGAGGGCUGGAGAUUGUGCGUUUCCAACAAGAGUCGCGAUGCCGAGGGGCUGGUCCGUGACCCCAGAGAGGAGCCAGGCUCCAGGAGGCCACAGCUGGAGAGGAGCCAGGCUGUCCCUCUCAGGGAGCCGAUGAGAUACUGAUGCAGGAGGAGGUUCAGCGAUGGCAGC
rnacentral:lncRNA from 1 species